CCUACGGGAGGCAGCAGUGAGGAAUAUUGGUCAAUGGGCGGAAGCCUGAACUAGCCAAGUAGCGUGCAGGAUGACGGCCCUACGGGUUGUAAACUGCUUUUAUACGGGAAUAACGCGCCUUACGUGUACGUCUUUGCAUGUACCUUAUGAAUAAGGACCGGCUAAUUCCGUGCCAGCAGCCGCGGUAAUACGGAAGGUCCGGGCGUUAUCCGGAUUUAUUGGGUUUAAAGGGAGCGUAGGCCGCAUGUCAAGCGUGCUGUGAAAUGUCCGGGCUCAACCCGAGCCUUGCAGUGCGUACUGGCGUGCGUGAGUCCGCGGAAAGCAGGCGGAAUUCGUCGUGUAGCGGUGAAAUGCUUAGAUAUGACGAAGAACCCCGAUUGCGAAGGCAGCUUGCUGCAGCGGAACUGACGCUGAUGCUCGAAAGCGCGGGUAUCGAACAGGAUUAGAUACCCUUGUAGUC
rnacentral:rRNA from 1 species